rnacentral:rRNA from 1 species
AAACAUCGCCUCUUGCAAACAACGAAUAAGAGGUCCCGCCUGCCCUGUGACUAUUAGUUUAACGGCCGCGGUAUUUUGACCGCGCGAAGGUAGCGCAAUCACUUGUCUCUUAAAUGGAGACCUGUAUGAAUGGCAUAACGAGGGCUUAGCUGUCUCCUCCCCUAAGUUAAUGAAAUUGAUCUUUCCGUGCAGAAGCGGGAAUAAACACAUAAGACGAGAAGACCCUAUGAAGCUUCAGACGUAAAGUGGACCAAGCUACAAAGACCCCAUGAUAAAGGGACAAACCAAAAGAGCCGCCACCCCAAUGUCUUUGGUUGGGGCGACCGCGGGGAAAGAAAAAACCCCCACGUGGAACGGGAGUACAACUCCUUAAACUCAGAGCCACAGCUCUAAUAAACAAGAUUUUUGACCUAAGGAUCCGGCAAUGCCGAUCAACGGACCGAGUUACUCUAGGGAUAACAGCGCAAUCCCCUUUUAGAGACCAUAUCAACAAGGGGGUUUACGACCUCGAUGUUGGAUCAGGACAUCCUAUUGGUGCAGCAGCUAUUAAGGGUUCGUUUGUUCAACGAUUAAAGUCCUACGUGAUCUGAGU